UACGUAGGGUGCAAGCGUUGUCCGGAAUUAUUGGGCGUAAAGAGCUCGUAGGCGGUUUGUCGCGUCUGCUGUGAAAACCCGAGGCUCAACCUCGGGCCUGCAGUGGGUACGGGCAGACUAGAGUGCGGUAGGGGAGAUUGGAAUUCCUGGUGUAGCGGUGGAAUGCGCAGAUAUCAGGAGGAACACCAAUGGCGAAGGCAGAUCUCUGGGCCGUAACUGACGCUGAGGAGCGAAAGCAUGGGGAGCGAACAGGAUUAGAACCU
rnacentral:rRNA from 1 species